UCUCCGGAGGAGAGCCACUCUGAGCAGCGAAUCUCUAUAUUUUAUAAAUGGAUUUUGCCCUCCCUCCUCACCAGGGUCCCCAGAACCCCAUCCCACUGGAGGUCACAGAGGCACCAGUUGUUUCUCUCAGACGAGACGUGGCCUGACAUCUAGCAUGUGGCGAGAUCUGAAAAAAGUUUCCACAAAUUGGGCACAGCAGGGACUCCCUGGGCCUCGGAGGGCGGCAGUGACACCCACAGGCCAGCGUGGUGGAUGGAGCUGCCUUCGGUUCUGUCCCGAAUCACUCAGUGAGCCUGCAGCACCACACCGAGCAGGUGGGGCGCACAGUGGGGGUGGAGGCCGCCCAGAGACAGCUCUGUGCACGGCUGUGAGCCCGCAUUCCUGUGCACACACACGGGCCCACAGAGCGUGGCUCAAGUCCUCUCCUCUCCUCACCUCGGCCCCUUCCCCUGUGGAAAGAUCUCUCUCCCCAUGUCCUAUUAUCCCGUAUUUUGCUCUUUGUUUAAAGUUCAGGUUCUUCACGUAAGAGAAACCAUGAAGCACUUAAGCUUGUGUAUCUGGUUUGCUUCACUUCACAUCGUGUCUUCGAGGCACAGCCACUUCCUACAAAGGACUCUCGUGUGUCCUUCUUACGGCAGAGUAGUACUCCAUGGUGUGCACGCGCCACGUUGUCUU
rnacentral:lncRNA from 1 species